AGAGUUUGAUCAUGGCUCAGAACGAACGCUGGCGGCGCGCCUAAUACAUGCAAGUCGAGCGAGAAGACGUAGCAAUACGUUUGUAAAGCGGCGAACGGGUGAGGAAUACAUGGGUAACCUACCCUCGAGUGGGGAAUAACUAGCCGAAAGGUUAGCUAAUACCGCAUACGGCUCCUGGUCUGCGGAUUGGGAGAGAAAGCGAUGCCUUGGGUAUCGCGCUCAUGGAUGGGCUCAUGUCCUAUCAGCUUGUUGGUGAGGUAAUGGCUCACCAAGGCUUCGACGGGUAGCUGGUCUGAGAGGACGAUCAGCCACACUGGCACUGCGACACGGGCCAGACUCCUACGGGAGGCAGCAGUAAGGAAUAUUGCGCAAUGGGCGACAGCCUGACGCAGCGACGCCGCGUGGGGGAUGAAGGUCUUCGGAUUGUAAACCCCUUUCGGCAGGGAAGAUGGAACGGGUAACCGUUCGGACGGUACCUGCAGAAGCAGCCACGGCUAACUUCGUGCCAGCAGCCGCGGUAAUACGAAGGUGGCAAGCGUUGUUCGGAUUUACUGGGCGUACAGGGAGCGUAGGCGGUUAGGUAAGCCCUUCGUGAAAUCUCCGGGCCUAACCCGGAAAGGGCGGAGGGGACUGCUUGGCUAGAGGAUGGGAGAGGAGCGCGGAAUUCCCGGUGUAGCGGUGAAAUGCGUAGAGAUCGGGAGGAAGGCCGGUGGCGAAGGC
rnacentral:rRNA from 1 species